rnacentral:rRNA from 1 species
UACGGUGGGGGCAAGCGUUGUUCGGAAUUACUGGGCGUAAAGGGCUCGUAGGCGGCCCACUAAGUCCGACGUGAAAUCCCCAGGCUUAACUUGGGAACUGCGUCGGAUACUGGUGGGCUUGAAUCCGGGAGAGGGAUGCGGAAUUCCAGGUGUAGCGGUGAAAUGCGUAGAUAUCUGGAGGAACACCGGUGGCGAAGGCGGCAUCCUGGACCGGCAUUGACGCUGAGUGAGCGAAAGCCAGGGGAGCAAACGGG